AGGGAAUGAUAGCAGACAUAAAGGUUAACUGUCAACCACUAAUGUCAAACUUGAAUGCUUCGGACCCAUAGCAUAUUGACCUAUUGGAAUUGCCUUGCCAAUGCUAAAUGAACAUAAUGUUGGUAGAUUGUUCAUUACUUUUUCAUUUAUUCAUUCCUUUAAGAAAUAUUUUACUGCCCCCUCUAAUCGGAGGAAGUGAAUCUUGAAGGAGCCAUGUAAAGAAUACACCACUGGUGCUUGGUAUAGGAACUCAUAGAUGUGAAAGAAGAAAAGGUAGGAAAAGAAAAGUUAAAAGAAUUCUAGAUGACAGACCAAAUUUCUGCAAUGUCAAUUUAGUAAUUAGGCAAUUAAUGAUAUGCAACUUUUCUGUUUUUGUUUUUUUUUUU
rnacentral:misc_RNA from 1 species